CGCAUUCGCAGCAUGGCGCAGUGACCGGCCGCCAUAUUGGUCAUAGCAAUGAUCUGAAACAAAACACAUUUUACACUUAUAAAUUCAGAUAUGUAUACUAAUAAGGUGUCUCCAAAGAGUUAAGAGGGUCCAAUGUAGAUUAGUGAAGAAAAUAACUCAAUCAAGACACGGAAGGCAAGCCUGUCAGUAUGAAUUUGGCUGACCAUAAAACUAGGCCGUGUCAGCCACGCAGGGGAACGAUUUGGACAAACCGUUGCAGAGAUUAGGGUGAAAACGGGUGUGGCGGGCUUCGCGAAAUGGCACGACAUUUUGGCGGACGAUGGCGUCACGGGCCACGCCUGGCAUUUCGAAUAAAGCAACAAAGAAGCCCUGCCAUCAUGGUUGAUAACAGAAAAAGCUUAAUAAUGUUUAGGGGCUUUCGGGUUAUUUGUUCAGCCCCGUCGCGUUUCUACUGCAGUAUCUCACCUUGGCAUUUUCUAUAGAACAUAACGUCUCUAUAGGCGCAGAGUGUUGUGAUGUAUAAUCAUAACAUGGAUUUAUUUUUUACAAAUUUACCACCGAACAGUCUCAAUUUGCCCUUGACCCUUGUAAAAUGCCGAAAUUGCGUAAUAACAAAGUAGACUGUUAAAACGGAGCAUGUAAUAUACGAUAGGUCAAUCAAGGGGGCGUACGCCUAUGAAGAUUUAAUGGCCAUUCAAGGCGAACUGAACAUUUUAGCCAUAUGUGUGAUAUCAUGACUAAAUAUUAAUUGAAACAAGAGCACAUAAUGCAUUGAUAAAAUUUUUAAUUACCAACAUAGUUUGGUAAAAGUAUUUUAUAUAAAUUCAUACAUAACUGUGAGCUGAGGUCCUUUGUUGAUAUUCUCAGUAUUGUAAAUGCAUUAAAUUUGUGAUUCAAAUGCAUCCAAGCCAGCUGCUGGAUAAUGGAUAUAGGUAGAUACUACCUAUACAGCCCAGCAUACUCGGUCGUACGUACAUAAUCUUACAUGUUUCAAUAUAGUUUAUCUCUCAAUUACUUAGCCUCUUGGAUACGCAAAGGUAAUGUGAGAUUGACACGCGCGCUAGUUUAUUUUUCUCCUUUUCGACUUACUAACUCCGGUUAACUUUUUAAAUUAUUGCUCGUGACUUCAAGUCAGAUUAUGUACUUAUGUGGACAGUGCCCUACCCAUAGGCUAAUGAAGUAUAGAAAGAACGACCGUAGCAGUGUUUUUCUCGUCUAGUUUUAGGCAAAGAUCGGUUCUCGUCCAGUAUUUUCCCUAAAAGUCUGGCACAAACCCACCUAAUAGAUGGGAGAAAGGGAAACAUUUGCACAACAUUAGGACAUGGACAAUAUAAAAAGCUAGCUUGGCGAUGCAUAGUCCGUGCCGUGGAAUUAAUUACUGAAUUAAAAAAUAACACGUCGUUGUGACAUGUUUUAAUACCGUAAUGUAAACAACGUAACACAAUUUGACUAAAAGAGGUUGCGUGCAAGCAAGCAAAGCUAAAAUAUUAAGCCGACAUGGGUCAAUAAACUAAACAAAAUAGGCCUAUGUAGGGACAGGUAUGCGUUCACUCUAGAUUAUUAUUAUGGACUUAUCACGAAAGCUUUUUAACUAUAUUCUGUACUUUACAUUGUGUAUGCAUUAUUUAUCUAUAUCAUGAUUGUCGAUAUUUUAUUUUUAACGAAACGUAAAGUAAAUACAAAACUAAAUAUUUGCAAAAAGUUCAAGGCGACUGUUAACUCACGGACAUUUAACUCAUAUGAAUUAUUUAAAAGAAUAAUUGAAAGAGCGCGUGAGAGAAUUAGCAGCCGCGGCCGCCGCCGUACUGGUUGGUGGUGAAAAAAUGUAAAUGUUGAAAAUGGUCUCUUCAUUUUUAUUUCAUACUGUAUCCUAACUAAUAUCCUAUAUACCUACACUACUAUUAUAUGAUGGUUGUAAUUUUUUUUUUAUGCAAAAACUUUUCCAUUAAUUUCAAUACAUGUAGUAAUUAAUAGAAUUAAACCUAUAAAAGCAUAUUCAUCAUAAUCCUGAAAUUCCCAUAAAUGUUGAGACAUAAUCACGCAACCCAUCUUGUAGCAUUUGCAAUGGUAGUAAUUAAGCCCUACAUAAUACCAAAACUUUCAUGGACAUUCAUGUAUUAGUCUGCAUUAUAGAUACUGUAAAUGGGAAGUAGUUAUAUUUAAUAAACAUACUAAUUACAAACUUACUUACAUAUAUGUGGGAAAUUUUUAUCUACCACCAUAAAAAGUAUUUAUUACUUCAUAUUGCAAAUAGCAUAAUUUACUCCAAAAGCAUUCCUACAUAUUCUUAAGUAAUCAGACUGAAAAAUUGUGUGAUCUAAUUGCAACAACUUAUUUAUUGUCAAUGUAAUGUACUAGUGUAAAUACCUAUAUCUAGUAGGCUUCAGAGCCAAAUUAAAACACUUCAUAUGUUUACCAUUUGUGCAUAUUUAAUAAGUAAAAGUAAGGAAACAUAAAAAAGAUAUGAAAUUAUGAAGUGUCAAUUA